rfam:Puccinia graminis f. sp. tritici CRL 75-36-700-3 supercont2.3 genomic scaffold, whole genome shotgun sequence.
GUCUCCGUGGCGCAAUUGGUUAGCGCGUUCGACUGUUACCAUCCAUCAUCAUUGGCGCAUCGAGAGGUUGACAGUUCAAUCCUGUCCGGGGACG